GGGGCUGACAAAGCUUAGACGGACUAUUAACAGAUAUCAGGCGUGUCGAUUAAAUACCGUAAGUAUUGAAUAAGUGCUAAAAACACGAAAACUGCGCAUGUUAUGUACAUGCCAGCUUAUGCUUAAUUUAAUUUAGGCUGGUUUCGGUUCAAGUUUCCGUAGAAUCGGAAUUAUCAUACAACGGAAAUAAGGUCGUAAAAGUGGCGAGAUAUGACAUGAAAAUUUUGCCAUGGCGAUUUGCAAGUUUCGUUUCCUGCUGCUUGUAAUUAGAUGCCGAGAUUAAAACAGAAAACUAUGCACGUAGAAUGGUAUCCAUGUGGUAAUUCGGACCCGGAGGCAGUAUCCGGCAGCUCCACCA
rnacentral:tmRNA from 1 species